rnacentral:rRNA from 1 species
UUCUAGUGCGAACGGUGAGUAACACGUAGUAACCUGCCCUUCAUCUUUGGGAUAACUCGCGGAAACGUGGGCUAAUACCGAAUAUUCUUUUCCUGCUGCAUGGUGGGGUUUGGAAAGGCUUCCUUUUGGGGGUUGGUGGGGGAUGGGCUUGCGGCCUAUCAGUUUGUUGGUGGGGUGAUGGCCUACCAAGGCGUGGACGGGUAACCGGCCUGAGAGGGUGUUCGGUCACACUGGGACUGAGAUACGGCCCAG